rnacentral:rRNA from 1 species
GACGAACGCUGGCGGCGUGCUUAACACAUGCAAGUCGAACGGAAAGGCCCUGCUUUUGUGGGGUGCUCGAGUGGCGAACGGGUGAGUAACACGUGAGUAACCUGCCCUUGACUUUGGGAUAACUUCAGGAAACUGGGGCUAAUACCGGAUAGGAGCUCCUGCUGCAUGGUGGGGGUUGGAAAGAUUCGGCGGUUGGGGCUGGACUCGCGGCUUAUCAGCUUGUUGGUGGGGUAGUGGCUUACCAAGGCUUUGACGGGUAGGCGGCCUGAGAGGGUGACCGGCCACAUUGGGACUGAGAUACGGCCCAGACUCCUACGGGAGGCAGCAGUGGGGAAUAUUGCACAAUGGGCGGAAGCCUGAUGCAGCAACGCCGCGUGCGGGAUGACGGCCUUCGGGUUGUAAACAGCUUUCGCCUGUGACGAAGCGUGAGUGACGGUAAUGGGUAAAGAAGCACCGGCUAACUACGUG